GGGUUGUGAGGUUAAGCGACUAAGCGUACACGGUGGAUGCCCUGGCAGUCAGAGGCGAUGAAGGGCGUGCUAAUCUGCGAUAAGCGCCGGUAAGGUGAUAUGAACCGUUAUAACCGGCGAUACCCGAAUGGGGAAACCCAGUGUGAUUCGUCACACUAUCAUUAACUGAAUCCAUAGGUUAAUGAGGCGAACCGGGGGAACUGAAACAUCUAAGUACCCCGAGGAAAAGAAAUCAACCGAGAUUCCCCCAGUAGCGGCGAGCGAACGGGGAGGAGCCCAGAGCCUGAAUCAGCAUGUGUGUUAGUGGAAGCGUCUGGAAAGGCGCGCGAUACAGGGUGACAGCCCCGUACACAAAAGCGCAUGUGCUGUGAGCUCGAUGAGUAGGGCGGGACACGUGGUAUCCUGUCUGAAUAUGGGGGGACCAUCCUCCAAGGCUAAAUACUCCUGACUGACCGAUAGUGAACCAGUACCGUGAGGGAAAGGCGAAAAGAACCCCGGCGAGGGGAGUGAAAAAGAACCUGAAACCGUGUACGUACAAGCAGUGGGAGCACAGGUUUACCUGUGUGACUGCGUACCUUUUGUAUAAUGGGUCAGCGACUUAUAUUCUGUAGCAAGGUUAACCGUAUAGGGGAGCCGUAGGGAAACCGAGUCUUAACCGGGCGUUAAGUUGCAGGGUAUAGACCCGAAACCCGGUGAUCUAGCCAUGGGCAGGUUGAAGGUUGGGUAACACUAACUGGAGGACCGAACCGACUAAUGUUGAAAAAUUAGCGGAUGACCUGUGGCUGGGGGUGAAAGGCCAAUCAAACCGGGAGAUAGCUGGUUCUCCCCGAAAGCUAUUUAGGUAGCGCCUCGUGAAUUCAUCUCCGGGGGUAGAGCACUGUUUCGGCUAGGGGGCCAUCCCGGCUUACCAACCCGAUGCAAACUGCGAAUACCGGAGAAUGUUAUCACGGGAGACACACGGCGGGUGCUAACGUCCGUCGUGAAGAGGGAAACAACCCAGACCGCCAGCUAAGGUCCCAAAGUCAUGGUUAAGUGGGAAACGAUGUGGGAAGGCCCAGACAGCCAGGAUGUUGGCUUAGAAGCAGCCAUCAUUUAAAGAAAGCGUAAUAGCUCACUGGUCGAGUCGGCCUGCGCGGAAGAUGUAACGGGGCUAAACCAUGCACCGAAGCUGCGGCAGCG
rnacentral:rRNA from 1 species